AUUGAACGCUGGCGGAAUGCUUUACACAUGCAAGUCGAGCGGCAGCGCGGGGCAACCUGGCGGCGAGCGGCGAACGGGUGAGUAAUACAUCGGAACGUACCCAGUUGUGGGGGAUAGCCCGGCGAAAGCCGGAUUAAUACCGCAUACGACCUGAGGGUGAAAGGGGGGGAUCGCAAGACCUCUCGCAGUUGGAGCGGCCGAUGGCGGAUUAGCUAGUUGGUAGGGUAAAGGCCUACCAAGGCGACGAUCCGUAGCUGGUCUGAGAGGACGACCAGCCACACUGGAACUGAGACACGGUCCAGACUCCUACGGGAGGCAGCAGUGGGGAAUUUUGGACAAUGGGGGCAACCCUGAUCCAGCCAUGCCGCGUGAGUGAAGAAGGCCCUCGGGUUGUAAAGCUCUUUUGUCCGGAAAGAAAAGCAAUCGGUUAAUACCCGGUUGUUCUGACGGUACCGGAAGAAUAAGCACCGGCUAA
rnacentral:rRNA from 1 species